rnacentral:misc_RNA from 1 species
GAUGAAGAACGCAGCGAAAUGCGAUAAGUAAUGUGAAUUGCAGAAUUCAGUGAAUCAUCGAAUCUUUGAACGCACAUUGCGCCCGCCAGUAUUCUGGCGGGCAUGCCUGUUCGAGCGUCAUUUCAACCAUCAAGCCCCCGGCUUGUGUUGGGGACCUGCGGCUGCCGCAGGCCCUGAAAAGCAGUGGCGGGCUCGCUGUCACACCGAGCGUAGUAGCAUACAUCUCGCUCUGGGCGUGCUGCGGGUUCCGGCCGUUAAACCAUCUUCAUAACCCAAGGUUGACCUCGGAGCAGGUAGGAAGACCCGCUGAACUUAAGCAUAUCAAUAAGCGGAGGA